rnacentral:rRNA from 1 species
UACGAGGGGAGCAAGCGUUGUUCGGAUUUACUGGGCGUAAAGGGCGCGUAGGCGGUCGUGACAAGUCACUUGUGAAAUCUCCGGGCUUAACUCGGAACGGUCAAGUGAUACUGUCGGACUAGAGUACAGAAGGGGCAACUGGAAAUUCUCGGUGUAGCGGUGAAAUGCGUAGAUAUCGGGAAGAACACCCGUGCGAAGGCGGCUCUCUGGGACGGUACUGACGCUGAGACGCGAAAGCGUGGGGA